CCUAUUGUUUAACCAAAUAUCAUAUAAAAAUAUAUGUAGGGAAGAACACACCACAAUGUAUUGGUGUUCCUUUAAAAGAGGGAAGUUUUUAUCAAGUCUUCUUGAUAUUUGAGGUAAAGCACUAUUUUAAAGUUGAAAUGAUCGGAAAACUCCGAUUAAAUCCUUUCAAAUAAUGGAUUUGUUUUUUCUCAUAAAAUAAAAUUAUUGUGCUAACCAAAAGAAAAAAGUUUUCUAGUCAAUUAUA
rnacentral:lncRNA from 1 species